rnacentral:misc_RNA from 1 species
GAUGAAGAACGUAGCGAAAUGCGAUAAGUAAUGUGAAUUGCAGAAUUCAGUGAAUCAUCGAAUCUUUGAACGCAUCUUGCGCUCUUUGGUAUUCCGAAGAGCAUGCCUGUUUGAGUGUCAUGAAAAUAUCAACCUUGACUUGGGUUUUGUGCUCUAGUCUCGGCUUGGAAUUGGGUGCUUGCCGCUUUUACGAGCGGCUCACCUUAAAUGUAUUAGCUGGAUCUGUCUUUGAGACUUGGUUUGACUUGGCGUAAUAAGUAUUUCGCUAAGGACAUUCUUCGGAGUGGCCUCGUUUCUAGGACGCUUGUCCGCUUUCCAAUACAAGUUCCACCUCGUGGACAUGACUUUUUAUUAUCUGGCCUCAAAUCAGGUAGGACUACCCGCUGAACUUAAGCAUAUCAAUAAGCGGAGGA